CUUGUAAUGAAGACAUAAUUCAUCAUAAUUGGCUAGACAGAACAAAAAUCGCAUAUUUUGAUGCAGCGGCAUUUCCUACCUAAUUUUUGCGUAUUUCUGCUUCUUUUUUCAGCUUCAACAACUUGUUUGAAUGGAGGAAUCAUGUGUGUGGGAGGUUGCCUUCAAUAUAAUGAACGCCAUCAUGGGCCAUGCAGUUCAGCUGCCGUACAGCCUGCAUGGGAAGAAUAGCAAGAGACUGUUUAACAUGCGGCUAUGCAGAGUGGGAACAGAAGGUGCCUGAGAGACGCAGAGAUCGACAUCAAUCAAGCGCAAGACUUCAUAAGAAUGUGGCUGCCAGGCGCCGUCGACUGUGCUAAUAGCAGAAGGCGGCGUUACGCCGAAGCGGCUCAACCCGUUCAGCAUCUUCAAGUGCCCCUUUUGCGAGCCCAGCCUCAACCUCCCGUAGCGCCAUAAACAAAGCUUUAGUAGGUGGCCCACAGGAUUGGGGAUACGAGCGACAAUCUGUAUCAACCUAUUUUAAGACCAAUAAAGAAAUUAUGUAUCAUUA